rnacentral:rRNA from 1 species
UACGGGGGGGGCAAGCGUUGUUCGGAAUUACUGGGCGUAAAGGGCUCGUAGGCGGCCAACUAAGUCAGACGUGAAAUCCCUCAGCUUAACUGGGGAACUGCGUCUGAUACUGGAUGGCUUGGAUUCGGGAGAGGAAUGCGGAAUUCCAGGUGUAGCGGUGAAAUGCGUAGAUAUCUGGAGGAACACCGGUGGCGAAGGCGGCAUCCUGGACCGGUAUUGACGCUGAGGCGCGAAAGCUAGGGGAGCAAACGGG